UUUGGGCUUAAAGAAACGUUCGGGUUUAAUUGGGCCCAUUGGGCCUAAACCCUUUGGGCUUUUAUUCAAGCAUUGGAUGACUUGAAAUAAAUGAAAGCCCAAAGCCCAAACAACACAAAGAGGGCCGGCCAUAUUUAGUGGGGAAGGAGAGAAAAAUUAGUCAAGUGUUGACUAGGUUUCUUUUGUCUAUAUAAGCAACUUUAUAGAGAUAAAGUUCAUUAGGGUUUUUGUGUGUUAAAAACACAAAAAGAGGCAAAAGAAAAAGAGCUCUCUAAACUACACAAAGGCCGGCCACCAAAGGGGGUUUUUACUAACCUCUCUUACACCCUUUUGGUUAUUCCUUCAUCCUUCUCACUACACUAGUGGGUGAGGAUCUUUAGAGGUUUCCU
rnacentral:lncRNA from 1 species